CUUUCAACAACGGAUCUCUUGGUUCUCGCAUCGAUGAAGAACGCAGCGAAAUGCGAUAAGUAGUGUGAAUUGCAGAAUUCAGUGAAUCAUCGAAUCUUUGAACGCACAUUGCGCCUCCUGGUAUUCCGGGAGGCAUGCCUGUCCGAGCGUCAUGC
rnacentral:rRNA from 1 species